rnacentral:rRNA from 1 species
CCUACGGGAGGCAGCAGUGGGGAAUUUUGGACAAUGGGCGCAAGCCUGAUCCAGCAAUGCCGCGUGAGUGAAGAAGGCCUUCGGGUUGUAAAGCUCUUUUGUCAGGGAAGAAACGGUUGUUCCUAAUACGGAUGGCUGAUGACGGUACCUGAAGAAUAAGCACCGGCUAACUACGUGCCAGCAGCCGCAGUAAUACGUAGGGUGCAAGCGUUAAUCGGAAUUACUGGGCGUAAAGCGUGCGCAGGCGGUUAUAUAAGACAGAGGUGAAAUCCCCGGGCUCAACCUGGGAACUGCCUUUGUGACUGUAUGGCUAGAGUGUGUCAGAGGGGGGUAGAAUUCCACGUAUAGCAGUGAAAUGCGUAGAUAUGUGGAGGAAUACCGAUGGCGAAGGCAGCCCCCUGGGAUAACACUGACGCUCAUGCACGAAAGCGUGGGGAGCAAACAGGAUUAGAUACCCUGGUAGUCCACGCCCUAAACGAUGUCUACUAGUUGUCGGGACUUAAUUGUCUUGGUAACGCAGCUAACGCGUGAAGUAGACCGCCUGGGGAGUACGGUCGCAAGAUUAAAACUUAAAGGAAAUUGACCGGNUGAGAGNGCGAGACGACGACGAGGAGGAGG